AGUGAACGCUGGCGGUAGGCCUAACACAUGCAAGUCGAACGGCAGCACAGUAAGAGCUUGCUCUUACGGGUGGCGAGUGGCGGACGGGUGAGGAAUACAUCGGAAUCUACUUUUUCGUGGGGGAUAACGUAGGGAAACUUACGCUAAUACCGCAUACGACCUACGGGUGAAAGCAGGGGAUCUUCGGACCUUGCGCGAUUGAAUGAGCCGAUGUCGGAUUAGCUAGUUGGCGGGGUAAAGGCACACCAAGGCGACGAUCCGUAGCUGGUCUGAGAGGAUGAUCAGCCACACUGGAACUGAGACACGGUCCAGACUCCUACGGGAGGCAGCAGUGGGGAACAUUGGACAAUGGGCGCAAGCCUGCUCCAGCCAGCCCGCGUGGGUGAAGAAGGCCUUCGGGUUUUAAAGCCCGUUUGUUGGGAAAGAAAAGCAGCAGGUUAAUACCCCGCUGUUCUGACGGUACCAAAAGAAUAAGCACCGGCUAACUUCGUG
rnacentral:rRNA from 1 species